UGUGGGGUCUUAUGUGAUGUUGAUAGCCUUGAAUAUACAUGAAUAAUCAUAUUAUAUUAUUAAAAAAAGGCCCAUUAUUGUACAUUUGGUGUAUUGUGAUAUAUUCAUACUUCAUGGGCAUAUGAAUCAUGUGGAAAUUCAUGGAUGGUAGAAAUACUGAGUGAAUAUUGACUCACGUGGUUGUGAAAAUAUAACAUUGUGGUUGGUUGUGGAAAUACAUCACGUGGAUUGAUUGCAGAAAUACUCAUUGUGAUUGGUUGUGAACAUUGCUUCAUCAUCCUCAUGUCAUUCUACGCAUCAUUUUACUUGUUUGUUGUAUGUUUUGUAUAUACUUAUUGUUAUUGUUUGUCAUACUUCAUUUGUGUCUUAUGUGCUCUGAAAAUACUGAAUAUUUUGAAAACAUUGGGAACAUUAAAUUUUAUAAACCCUCCUCGAGGAAAUGCUGAGGAGGAGAUAUUGAUAUAUGAUUUGUAUAUGGGUUGAUGAAUUCCCAAUGGGUUCUACGUCGAAAG
rnacentral:lncRNA from 1 species